UGGGGAAUUUUGGACAAUGGGCGAAAGCCUGAUCCAGCCAUGCCGCGUGCAGGAUGAAGGCCUUCGGGUUGUAAACUGCUUUUGUACGGAACGAAAAGACUCUGGUUAAUACCUGGGGUCCAUGACGGUACCGUAAGAAUAAGCACCGGCUAACUACGUGCCAGCAGCCGCGGUAAUACGUAGGGUGCAAGCGUUAAUCGGAAUUACUGGGCGUAAAGCGUGCGCAGGCGGUUAUAUAAGACAGAUGUGAAAUCCCCGGGCUCAACCUGGGAACUGCAUUUGUGACUGUAUAGCUAGAGUACGGCAGAGGGGGAUGGAAUUCCGCGUGUAGCAGUGAAAUGCGUAGAUAUGCGGAGGAACACCGAUGGCGAAGGCAAUCCCCUGGGCCUGUACUGACGCUCAUGCACGAAAGCGUGGGGAGCAAACAGGAUUAGAUACCCUGGUAGUCCACGCCCUAAACGAUGUCAACUGGUUGUUGGGGUCUUUCACUGACUCAGUAACGAAGCUAACGCGUGAAGUUGACCGCCUGGGGAGUACGGCCGCAAGGUUGAAACUUAAAGGAAUUGACGGGGUCAUAGCUG
rnacentral:rRNA from 1 species